AAUACAACAACAACAACAAACCCAGUGUAUUCCCACUUAGUGGGGUCUGGGGGGGGUAAGAUGUACGCAGUCCAUACCUCUACCUCUGAUGAAGUAGAAAGGCUGUUUCCGAAAGACCCCCGGCUCAAGGCACAAGAUAUCACACAAACACAUAGUAAAGCACAGAAGCAGAUGACAUAACAUAAAUACGGCACCCAUAAGGAAUAUAAAACAGCGGAAAGCAGAGGAAAGCACACAGAUUCGUAAUAAGCAUGGGACACUGAAUACGGAAUCAUAACGGGAAUAAAAAAUAAAAAAACCCCACCAAGUAAUUCCCUACACUAGCGACCCAAUCUGGCCCUACUCUUCUGCCGUAAUUCGCGUCUUCCAGACCUUCCUAUCUAGGGUCAU
rnacentral:lncRNA from 1 species